UACAGAGGUCCCAAGCGUUGUUCGGAUUCACUGGGCGUAAAGGGUGCGUAGGUGGUCGGGUAAGUCUGAUGUGAAAUCUCCAAGCUCAACUUGGAAACUGCAUCGGAUACUAUUCGGCUGGAGGGUUGGAGGGGGGACUGGAAUACUUGGUGUAGCAGUGAAAUGCGUAGAUAUCAAGUGGAACACCAGUGGCGAAGGCGAGUCCCUGGACAACUCCUGACACUGAGGCACGAAAGCUAGGGGAGCAAACAGG
rnacentral:rRNA from 1 species